rnacentral:rRNA from 1 species
GUCGAACGGUAACGCGGGGCAACCUGGCGACGAGUGGCGAACGGGUGAGUAAUACAUCGGAACGUGCCCAGUAGUGGGGGAUAGCCCGGCGAAAGCCGGAUUAAUACCGCAUACGACCUACGGGUGAAAGCAGGGGACCGCAAGGCCUUGCGCUAUUGGAGCGGCCGAUGUCAGAUUAGGUUGUUGGUGGGGUAAAAGCCCACCAAGCCGACGAUCUGUAGCUGGUCUGAGAGGACGACCAGCCACACUGGGACUGAGACACGGCCCAGACUCCUACGGGAGGCAGCAGUGGGGAAUUUUGGACAAUGGGCGCAAGCCUGAUCCAGCCAUGCCGCGUGCGGGAAGAAGGCCUUCGGGUUGUAAACCGCUUUUGUCAGGGAAGAAACGCUCUGGGCUAAUACCCUGGGGUAAUGACGGUACCUGAAGAAUAAGCACCGGCUAACUACGUGCCAGCAGCCGCGGUAAUACGUAGGGUGCAAGCGUUAAUCGGAAUUACUGGGCGUAAAGCGUGCGCAGGCGGUCUUGCAAGACGGGUGUGAAAUCCCCGGGCUUAACCUGGGAACUGCAUUUGUGACUGCAAGGCUAGAGUACGGUAGAGGGGGAUGGAAUUCCGCGUGUAGCAGUGAAAUGCGUAGAUAUGCGGAGGAACACCGAUGGCGAAGGCAAUCCCCUGGACCUGUACUGACGCUCAUGCACGAAA